rnacentral:rRNA from 1 species
AACGUAGGACGCAAGCGUUAUCCGGAGUUACUGGGCGUAAAGCGCGGGCAGGCGGUCGUUCAAGUCUGCUGUGAAAUCUCCUCGCUCAACGGGGAGCAGCCAGUGGAAACUAGACGACUGGAGUCUGACAGAGGUAGGCGGAAUUCCGGGUGGAGUGGUGAAAUGCGUAGAGAUCCGGAGGAACACCAGAGGCGAAGGCGGCCUACCGGGUCAGUACUGACGCUGAGCCGCGAAAGCCAGGGGAGCGAACGGG